rnacentral:rRNA from 1 species
UGGACAAUGGGGGGAACCCUGAUCCAGCCAUGCCGCGUGUGUGAAGAAGGCCUUUUGGUUGUAAAGCACUUUAAGCGAGGAGGAGGCUUACCUAGUUAAUACCUGGGAUAAGUGGACGUUACUCGCAGAAUAAGCACCGGCUAACUCUGUGCCAGCAGCCGCGGUAAUACAGAGGGUGCGAGCGUUAAUCGGAUUUACUGGGCGUAAAGCGUGCGUAGGCGGCUUUUUAAGUCGGAUGUGAAAUCCCCGAGCUUAACUUGGGAAUUGCAUUCGAUACUGGGAAGCUAGAGUAUGGGAGAGGAUGGUAGAAUUCCAGGUGUAGCGGUGAAAUGCGUAGAGAUCUGGAGGAAUACCGAUGGCGAAGGCAGCCAUCUGGCCUAAUACUGACGCUGAGGUACGAAAGCAUGGGGAGCAAACAGGAUUAGAUACCCUGGUAGUCCAUGCCGUAAACGAUGUCUACUAGCCGUUGGGGCCUUUGAGGCUUUAGUGGCGCAGCUAACGCGAUAAGUAGACCGCCUGGGGAGUAC